rnacentral:rRNA from 1 species
UACGUAGGGUGCAAGCGUUGUCCGGAAUUAUUGGGCGUAAAGAGCUCGUAGGCGGUCUGUCGCGUCUGGUGUGAAAACUCGAGGGCUUAACCCUGAGCUUGCAUCGGGUACGGGCAGACUAGAGUGCGGUAGGGGAGACUGGAAUUCCUGGUGUAGGCGGUGAAAUGCGUAGAUAUCGUAAGGAAGACCAGUGGCGAAGGCGGGUCUCGUGGACAGUUCCUGACGCUGAGGCACGAAGGUCAGGGGAGCAAACGGG